AUCACUUCUUGGCCUUUUGGCUACGUUCAAGUAUAGAAGUCUCUCCUUA
rnacentral:snRNA from 1 species